CACAGACACACCCAGGAUCAAUACUUUGCAUCCUUCCAUCCAAUCAAGUUGACACUCAGUAUUAACCAUCACAAGGUCAGAACUCCUAAGCAGCCCUGGCCACAGCCCUCGAGGAGGUGCUGUCUGUAAGUGUUGCUGAUGUCCACUCUAGAAAUGUUAAGUGGCAUUCAGAGCAUUGCAGAUGCCAUGUGAGGGUGACAGAUGAUAUGCAGGGAAGAGCAUAGCAGAGCCAAGGUUUUAAGGCAUGGGGCUUCCUGGGGCAGGUGAUGAGUGCCAGACCUUGACUGUCCUUUUCCAGUUCUUCUGAGAGCAUGUCCUGAAGAGAGGAUGGGAUGGGGGCUAGCUAGCUGGGUAUGUGGGCAGGGGUGCCAGCCGACCUCUCCUUACUCUUGGGAAAUUUGCCCCUGUUAGCAUCUGCUGUGUUCACUAUCUUGAGGUGGACACCAAUCCUUGGAGAACAAACCCUCUGGCCCCAUUCCACCUCCCAGCAUCCCAGGUUCUACUGAAUGUGUGCGCUUGGGUCACGAACCCUCUCAGCUGCUUCUGACUCUGUGGGCUAGGACCAUGGCAGGCCCUGGAGGCAAAAGGCCUUCUUCUUGGAUCUCUCUGUAUGGCUCCCAAAGGUGGAACGAGCCCAGAAAAUACUUUCUAAGCACUGGUAGGGAUCAUAUUGGGGGUGGAGACAUGGGGAGGUAUCUCCCUACUUUCUGCCCUGCCCCCACCAGAGAACACAAAGUGGGUAAGAAGGGGAAGGAUGGAAUCUGCCUAGCACUUCUGUGAGCCAUUUGGCAGGGGUAGGGGUGGGGAGAUCCUUUGUCAUCACCACCUCUGGGAACCCCCAGCUGCUCUCUUUCCACACACACCUCUCCCCGGGGCCUUAGCUGCGGGUGCAGAAGAGUGCAUGGCAUUGCCAAUUGGAAUUCUAAGGAGGUUAACACGGCCUCCCAGCAUUGUCACUGACUAACUUGGUGACGUUGGGCAGCUCACCUAACUGGACUGUACCUCCAUUUUCUCAUCUGUAAAAUGGGGGUAAUAAUAACAUCAUCCUCAGAAUUGCCUUGAGAGUCUCAUGAGCUGAUGUAUGGUAAAGCCCUUAGCACAGUGCCCGGCACACAGUGAUCACUCAGGGCCUGUUGGCAUGCAGCCUGCCCCGGAGAGAGCCUAGCAAUGCAUCAUCAUCUUCCUCCACGGGAGUGAAAGCUGGGAGGUCAGGACCAGGAGUCUCAGCUGCUCCUGGCUGAGGAGUUAGUAGACUCUGGCUCUUGAUUUUCAUUUGCUGUGAGACCCUAGGCAAGUGCCUUUCCCUCUCUGGGUUCUGAUUGUUUGGUUUCCCUUCCCAUCUGUAAGUCCGGAGUGGGGCAGAGGUGGAAGGAUGAUCCAUACAGGAUGUGGGGUUUUUGUCUGGUUCUAUCUGAAGAGGCUCCAGCAGUCAGAAAGAAACAGAGGUAGCCGAGGUCCAGAACCACUUGUGUUUACAGAGGCCCCUCUGGAAAGUCAGUAUAUUGACUGGAAUGCCCUUGCACGCAUUAUGCAGCCCUGGGUGUCUCUCUCACCGAAGCCAUAAAUCACCCUCUGGGAACUCGGUCCCUUUUUCCUGCUCCAUAAGCAUUUCCUGCUUCAGAAACUGAGAACCCCAGAUGCCAAGCAGGGCCCAGGAGGUAGAGAAGGGCCCCACUGGCAGAGGCAGCCUGGGCAUGUGCGAGAAGGGGCCUGUGGUCCCCCCCCUUGUCACCCACUCCGAAGCUCAAGUGCGCCCUGCUGAGGGUGUUAGAGACAGACUUUGCAGGCCUGGCCCCCGUGUCAUGCAUAGCUUCAUUUCUCAGAGGCAGGGGGAGGCCAAUCUUGGGGGUUGGGGAAUGAGGACUCCUGUCUCCAUGUAGGGUAUCAGAACACCAGCCCACCCUAAAACCUGAUGCACAUGCCCAUUCAUUCAGCCUGAGCAAGUGCUGAGCUCCGCAGUCAGAAGCUUAAAAACCAUGGGCCUGACUCUUGAAGAACUGAUGGGCUUUGUGCUGCUUCUUGAAGCAUGGGCCAAGUGCCUGGCCUGUGAUGCUGGGGUGCAAGGGGGAUUAGGAUGAUGCAACAGAUAUGAAUCAUUCAAGCAUGAGCCAAGAUGUGUGUGUCUUGGGAGGGGUCUUGCGCGAUGUUUAGAGGGCAGGCUGUGCAGUCACAUUACUUGGGUUCAAAUCCUGGCAGUGCCACCAUCUGGCUGUGUGUCUUAGAGCAAGUUGCUUACCCUCUCUGAGCUUAGUUCUGAGCUUAGUUCCUUCAUUUGUAAAAUGGGAGUAGUAACAGCACCAAUCUCAUUAGAUUUGGGGAUAAAUGAGAUCAUGCUUAAAAGUGUGUUGCAUAUUCUGAAGUGCUCAGUGACAUUCACUACUGUCAUCAUCAUCAUCAUCAUCAUCAUCAUCAUAUGGGCACCAUGUAUUGCGUGGAACGAAGGGAAAUGUCUGGAUGUUGAGAGGAAGAAGCUCUUGUGGUCUGGGCAGUCAGAAAAGGCUUCCUGGAAGAGGGAAGGUUUGCACUUGACUGGCCCUUGAAAGAUGAGAGACUUUGGGUAAAUGGAGAGUGUGGCCCUGGUAGGGGAUGUGUACGUGAAGGUAUGGGUGUGAAUGUCUGGCACAUCUACCCAGGAGACAAAUUCUACAUUCAGCUUCUGACUCGUGUCUGAUCAUCUAGCAACUCAAGACUUCUAGGGCCAGAGGUCUCUUAGUGGAAAGAGCCCCAGCCUUUAGGAUUUGAAUCUUCCAGAGGUGGCUCACUCUCUGUGCCUCAGCUUCCCAAUUCAUGAGAUAGGCAUGAUUCCACCACCUUCACCAGGUGCUGAUGUGACGUGAACACACACAUAUACAGUCUUGGCAGAGUGGGUGCUCUGUGGAUUUCCAUUGCCUUCCCUUCUCUUCCUGCCCCUCCUCCACCCCCCGAUUUGGCUGACCUCUGGAUAGGGCUAGGGCUGGGCCUGGGCCCUGAUUCUCUCCCUGUGCAUCUCUGGGCAGAACAGUGGGACAGAGAGUCCCAAAGUGGCAGUUUCCAGGUUGGCCAGAGAGCCAAGGAGAGGGGCAGGAAGAGAGAGGCUGCUUUUUCUGGUCCCUGGUGUUCACCUGGGCCUGCCCUGACCCAGGAGGCAUCCCCAGGGAGUCUUCUGCUGAGAUCACCCAGGAGCCUGCAACCCCCAGAGGCCCCAAGCGGCAUCUGGAGGCAUUACUGCCUUCAGGAGACAAAGCCCAAAGGAAAGCAGCUCUGUAAUGCGAUCAGAGGCGUCCGCCUGCCUGGCUGGGGACCUGGACACCCAUGCAGGAUGCAGAGCUUACAAGAAAUUGAGUCAGGAAUUCCAGGAAAGUUGUCCCUGACCCCCUCCCCCAUCCCUAUCCCACCUUUGGUCAUUCUGUGACACAGCAGAGCAGAGUGACAUUCGGAGUGAGCAGUGACCUGUGGUGGGAUGGGAGUCUGUCGGAUGGGGCAGCCUGCGUUCUUUCCUUUUCCUUGUCACCAAGCCAGGGCUCCAGGGUUGGGGAGACAGGUUCAGCAGGGGCAGCCAGCAUGGAUUGAAACGACUAGGUGAUGGCAGAGCAGCCAUGGCACUAGGUGACUAGGGAGGCUGGGCCUGAUUUGGCUCACUCGUGUGGAUUCCUGGCACCCAGAAGGUACUGAAUAAAUCUCUGUAGAAUGGAUGAAUGAGAACUCAUGGUCAGGCCUUACUCACCCGAGAAGUAGCUGUGAUUUUGUCCCAGCUGUGCGUGGACCUGCUGCUGUGGAUGAGUAACCAAAGAAUUAGAAGAUUUUUUCAUUCCUUUGCUUCCAGCCUUCCCCUCCUGCCUGCCUGCUUCCCUCCCUUCAUUAUCUGCUGCUUGCUUUCUUUGAGCACUUACUGUGUACCCAACAUGGUGGAAGCCAGAGCCAAAUCUUCAGUGAUCAGAGCCCCUAGGUAGGAAGGAAUUUAUUCACUAAAUCCAGCGGAGCCACAGAGAAUUAACCAAGUUUUGCAGUCAAGUGCCCUGGGCCCCUUUACAUAGAGAAAGUAGACUGGCAGACACUUGCUGGGCUGGUAAAUUUUGUACUUAUCUGCAAGGUGGCCCUUGUAAGGCACAGCUGGUCCAGGCGACUUUAAAAUGUUUCUUUCCUACUUGUAGCCACAAGCCCAUUAUCACUUCUCCCCACCUUGCCUUCUUGUGGCUCAAGAGAAUGCUUACCGCAUGGACAACUGGCCGUGAGGCCUGAGAGCAAGUGUGGGCUGAGCAGGUGUAUCUAAAGGCCAUGGCCAGAUCUGACUCCAGGCCUCAGCCCUCUAUAGCAACUGCUACCAGCUUCUUAGCAGGAGCUGGGCUUGGUGCAGGAGAGCAGUUCUGGCCAUGGGGUCUGGCUGAUAUAGACUCUGGGUGGCAUCAUGUCCAGUACUGACAUCUUUGGGAGAUUAAACAUCCCCAGGCAGCAACAAGCCUGGCCCAGUGACCAUCCUCAGCUGGUGGCUCACUGGUCCUUGUCAGGAGUCCCUGCCAGAGGCUGAUCUGGAAUUCCUCCCUGGCAGCCCAGGAAAGCCGGGGCUGCUGGGCACAGUGACCCCUGCUGCAAAUUUGAUCCAGCCCCACAUUUUCCUCCUGGUCCAUCCCACUUCUGUAUGUAGACACAGACACAGACACACACACACAGACACACACACACACACCAGGAAAGCCGGGGCUGCUGGGCACAGUGACCCCUGCUGCAAAUUUGAUCCAGCCCCACAUUUUCCUCCUGGUCCAUCCCACUUCUGUAUGUAGACACACACACACACACACACACACACACACACACACACACACACACACACACGAAAUGACAGCAGAAAAAGCCCCAAGUUGAGGAUUGGGAAAACUGGAUUCUUUUUUUUCUUUUUUUGGAAAUAAAAAACUGGAUUCUAAUCCUAGCCAUGUAGCUAAUCUGCUUUGUGACAUUGGGCCAGUCCUUUUCCCUCUCUGAGCUUCCUCUGUCCAAAUGAAGAGGUUCUGCCCUGGAAUCAGAAAACCUGGAUUCAAGUCCUGGCCCCAUCACUAACUGCAAUUUCAUGAGCCUCCAUCUCCUCACUAUAAACUGGGCCCCCAAUUGGUUGUGGGGACAUUAAAGGAAAUGGGCAUGGUCAGUGAAGGUCGGUUUUCUUUCCUUUCCACCCAGAAGGAAAUCCACAAAUUGCUGGAUCCUGCCUUCUAGUGGGAUUUUGGAUUGCUGGAUCCCAAAUCCACAGAGCCCGCCUUCUUUCUUUCUGAUAUUGCCUUCUUGACAUGGGCAUAUUAGACAUAAGGUACAGUAGGGUUAUCCUACAGACUUCUGAGAUACCUUCCAGCCUUCAAAGCCCAUCGCUGUAAAGCACCGUGGAUACAGUUCAGGAAGUCCUGUGGGGUGACUUGGUAAUCGUCUGAGGGUUAUCAGCGAGGGGAGAGCCUGCCUUGUUAUACACAUUUGGGAGAGCCUGCCUUGUUAGACACAUUUGGAAAGAGCACUGGACUAGGAGUCUGGAAUCUCCAGCUCUAAGGCCAAAUCUGUCUCUGUGUGAUACGCAAAUCUCACCCACCUUCUUUGAGCCUCAGUUUACCCAUCAGCAAAAGGAACAAAAGAAGUUGAAUGCCAGGUAGGGCCAAGUGAGAAAACACCCAGAGAGGUGCUUCAGAAACUGUUCUCCAAACCCACGGGGGUCGCUGAUCUGAGGCAGCAGGAGGCCUGCAGAACAGUCCCUGGACUAUGCGGUGCAUCCUGGGAACUGCUGCCUGUGUGGCAGGGAUGAGAGGGCCCACGUGCCCAUUUCCCUGGCACCUCCCAUGCCUGGCUGGCCACAGCUGUUGAGCUAAGUGACAAGAGUUUUAGCCACUUCUCAUCCAUCUUUGUGCCCCCAUACCCUGACCCCAUUGCACACCCCACAUCCCAGAGCGGAGGAGGCCCGGGUGCCACGUCAGAGAAGGUUAGUGUCAGUGCUGGGUUUGAUACUGUCUGAGCCAGCACACCAUCUGCCAUGCCCACCAGAAGUUACAUAAUCCCUCGGCCGGCUGCCCAUUCUUAGAAAACGGGGCAGGCAGGACCAGCAGGGAGUAGAGAGUUAGAGUUUUCUUCUCUGCAUUUUGUUCCCUCCCAGCCCACCACAUCCCUGGACCAGUCUUCACUCUCUGAGUUGCUCCCACACUGUUCAGAGCCUGAGACGUAAGUGCCAAGGCAGAGAGAAGCUCAAGUUGGAAGGGGACAUGGGUCUUGAGGACUGCUUGCCACCGUGCCACACAGACUUGAGGACACCCUGCAGACACUACCUGCUGGCAGCACACCUGGCUGGCCACACCUUGCCAGCCCCUCACACGGCUCCUCUGCUGAGCCUGUGGUGGGUUGAGGAGGACCACUCAAGCUUCUAGGACAAAUAGAGUCUCCUCCUCCCCACCCCCUAGUUCCUACAGAGAUAUUAUCUUUCCAAAAUCUUAUCAGAUCAUAAGCGUUUUUAUUUAUUUUUAUUUAUUUUAUUUUUUAUUUUUGAGACUGAGUCUUGCUCUAUCACCCAGGCUGGAGUGCAGUGGCACCAUCUCGGCUCACUGCAAUCUCUGCCUCCCAGGUUCAAGUGAUUCUCAUGCCUCAGCCUCUCAAGUAGCUGGGAUUACAGGCGCCCGCCACCACACUCGGCUAAUUUUUGUAUUUUUAGUAGAGAUGGGGUUUCACCAAGUUGGCCAGGCUGGUCUCAAACUCCUGACCUCAAGUGAUCCGCUUGCCUCGGCCUCCCAAAGUGCUGGGAUUACGGGCAUGAGCCACCUCGCCCAGCCCAUAAGCAUUUUUAAUAACUGAAUAACAGCCAGAUAACACCACCCAUGUAUCAUUAGGGUCUUUGGAAUCACUGAGACCCAAGAUCCCAUCCUGUCUCCUUCAUUUGCUGGCUGCAUGAUGUUUGCCAGGCAACUUCACUCUUGUUAGUCCCGGUUUCCUCAUCAGUGAAGUGGGAAUCAUGAAGCCUGCUUCCCAGAGCUGCCUUAAGGAUGGAAUCAGAUAAUACUUGGAGAGGAUGGAGAAAGUAUUUAGUGAUGGUAGCUCUGAUCAGCAGCAUCCAAUUCCAUUCUCUCUUUUUAACAUCAUGACCAGAUCUGAUUUAUUGCAGGAAUGCAAGAGUGGUUCCAAAUGAAUUCGCUAAUAUUAAUAACAUGCCAUAUUAAUAUCAUGUUCCAUAUUAAUGAAUCUGAGGAAACAAAAUCAUAUUAUUAUCUUCAUAGAUGCUGAACAAAGCUUGGAUAAAAUACUACACUAAAAGAAAUAGGAAUUAAGGGAUACUUUUCAGAUGAGAUAGAUAGAUAUAUAUACCAUGGAAUACUACUCAGUCAUAAAAAGGAAUGAAAUAAUGGCAUUCACAGCAACCUGGAUGGAGUUGGAGACCAUUCUUCUUUUUUUUUUUUUUUCCUUGAAACGGAGUCUUGCUCUGUUGCCCAGGCUGGAGUUCAAUGGCACAAAAUUGGCUCACUACAACCUCCGCCUCCUGGGUUCAAGCAAUUCUCCUGCCUCAGCCUCCCGAGUAGCUGGAAUUAGAGGUGUGUGCCACCAUGCCCAGCUAAUUUUUGUAUUUUUAGUAGAGACGGGGUUUCACCAUGUUGGCCAGGCUGGUCUCGAACUCCUGACCUCAGGUGAUCUGCCCGCCUCAGCCUCUCAAAGUGCUGGGAUUACAGGUGUGAGCCAUCGCACCCAGCCAGAGACCAUUAUUCUAAGUGAAGUAACUCAGGAAUGGAAAACUAAAAAUCAUAUGUUCUCACUUGUAAGUGGGAGCUAAGCUAUGAGGAUGCAAAAGCAUAAGAAUGAUAUAAUGGACUUUAGGGAGAUGGGGGAAAUGUGGGAGGGGGUGAGGGAUAAAAGACUACACAUUGGGUACAGUGUGCAUUGCUUAUGUGAUGGGUUCAUCAAAAUCUCAGAAAUCACCACUAAAUAACUUAUUAUCCAUGUAACCAAAUACCACCUGUUCCCAAAAACUAUUGAAACAAAAUAAAAAUAAAAAUAAAUUUUGUAUACAUACAUAUAUACAUAUAUAUACAUAUAUACAUAUAUAUACACAUAUACAUAUAUAUACAUAUAUAUACACAUAUAUACAUAUAUAUACACAUAUAUAUACACACAUAUACACACACACACACACACACACACACACACACACACACAUACAUACCCUAGUCCUAAAGCUGGUAUCUUAUUUAAUGGGGAAACACUAAAGGUACUUUCAGUAAGAUCAGUAAUAGAUACCCUGCUGGUAUUCACCUCUGCUAGUAUUCACCGCUAGAGGUAUUAGCAAAUGUGAUUAAAUGAGAGAAGUCAAUUAGAAGCAUUAGAAAGGGGUAAAGAAGAAGUAAAACUAUUCCUGCCAGAUAGUAAAACAUACUGGAAAGCCUCUGUAAUUAAAACAGUGUGCUUACUGGUGUGUGAAUUGGCAAAUAGACCAAAGAUAAUAGUAAGUUCAGAAUUAGACCCAAAUGUCUACGGAAAUACAGUACAUAACAAAGGUGGUAUCACAGGUCACUGGGGUUAAGACAGACUUUUUAAUAAAUGGUGCUCGGACUACUGGGUAGCUAUGUGGGAAAAGGUGAAAUUUGAUUCAAGUCUCACACCAUACAGAGAGAUGAACUCCAAGUGGAUUUGGGAUCUAGAUGUAAACAAUGAUACAACUACUAAAUGAAAACAUGGGUAAAUUCCUUUUUAAACUUGUGGGUGGGAAAGGCUUUCUAACUAUGACUUAAGAUCUAGAGGCAAUAAAAUAAAAAAACUGAUCAGUUUUAUUACAUGAACAUUUUUAAAUUUUCGACAAAAAAAAAAAUCACAGAACACCUUAAACAAAGUCAGAAGACAAAGUACUUGACAAACUGAGAGAAAUAUUCCUAACAUAUGCCACAGACGAAGGGCUGAUAUUUAUGGUAUAUAAAGUGCUUUUAAAUAUCAAGGAACAAAGGAUCAAGCCCUCACAGAAAGGUGGAAGAAAAAGACACGGACAGACAAUGCACAAAAUAAAAUAGAACAAUGACCCUCGAACAGACUUACUCAGAAUUAGAUAAACACAUAUUGUAAAACAACUACAAGAUACCAUUUCUCAUUUACCAGACGGGAAAACAUGAAACACUGUGGCCUCACAUUCAGUUGUGGAGGGGGCUUGAGCACCCGAGGGGCACCCACGGGGCCUCCUCUGUGCCCACCUUGGCCAUUGUGUAUGCAUUGUCUCACUCAGUCCUUGCGAUGGCUCUGGGAGGAAGGUCUUAGCAGAAGAGCAAACUGGGGCUCAGGAAAGUGAAGUGACCCACCCUAAUCUAGCUUUUAGUGUCAGGGCCUCAUCUGGGUUCAGCCCUAGCCUUUGGACUCCAGAUUCGGUGCUCCUUCCAUGAGCCCACCCUACACCCACUCCCCAAGGCAGGGACUGGGCCUUAUCCCCUGCGCACCUCCCUCAAUGCCCAGGGAGUGCUGGAUGCUCUGGAGUUGCCUGUGGAGUGACUGGGCGGUGAGGGAAUCGAACUUGGAGCUGCUUUAUAAAAUGCAGACUCCUCCACCAACGUGAUUGUUGUCUCGCUAAAGAGCUGUUGAUUGAUGGACGGAACUGGCACUUUCCCACAGGCCAGUCAGCCAGCCUCAGUCAGCCCCUUUCCCAUUUUAAGGAUUGGUCAGAGAGAGUGGGUGUUUGUGGGUGCAUGGGGAGCAACAAGCCCCAGGGGCAGAUCAGCUGGUCUGCUGGAAAAGAGGCUGAGCCAGACCUCAGCUCCUAUAGAGAGCAGAGGAGACCCUGGGAGGAUGGUGGGGGCAUGAUUGCCGGAAGGUCCUGCUCCAAGCCUGAGAAUUCUGCUUUCCAGUCAGUAAGUUGUUUAUUACACCCUUGACAGUGUCCUCCUCCGCCCCUGCCCCUGGAUCCUGAGGAGCCUGCAGAGGGCGGGGCAGGGCCUGCUGAGGGUCUGACCUCUCAAGGGAAAGGGGUCGCUGGAAGCGUGGAUCAAGCCAUCCACCCUCCUUCCCAUCACGGCCCACUGGACCAGAGCGCUUGCCCGAGCUCCCGGAGGCCCUGAUCUCUGCUGGAAGGGCAGGCUAAACAGAAAUUCCCUGGGACCUUGGGGCAUCUCCCUCUCACUUCCCUGGACUUCCUUUCCAAGGCUCCUUCUAGGGAGUUGUUGUGCUUCUGGGGCAGGGCGUGUAGUUCUCAGAGCUUCUUAGGAACCGCAGUCUUGCAGACCCUAUAAAGGGGUGCAUGAGGGCCCCGUGUCCCUUGGCUUGAGUAAGAGCUGGUGGUGAGAAUCAGCCCCAUGCCAUCUCUGGCUGUCCCACCGUCGCUGGUCAGGGUGAUGCCUGUUGCUCCCAGGCACAGAGCGCGGCAUGCAGAAACACCCUCUUAUUGACUCUGAGCUUCUCAAGAGCCCCACGAAGUCAUCAGGGGGAGUGUUUUCACUGCCCUUUUAUGGCUGGGCAAACUGAGACAGAGCUACCUCCUGACCUACACUGUUAUCAUCUGACUUUUCACCCCUACCUCCUCCUCUCUGCUCUUGCCUUGGUUUGGUAGCUGAGAAAGAUUAAGAAAAGAAGCAUUGUAGACCAUUCUAGAUAGUCCUUCAAGGACACCCUGUCUUACCUCCAUGUUUUCCCUAGGGGAACUCAGCUGUGAUUAGGAGGAACCUGAGGGCCCUCACUCUGAUUGGUCAGAGUGAGGAGGGGUGCAGGCCUGUUUGGGAGCCAGGAACUUACCUCCACUCCAUGGCUCAGCGAGGGAAGCUGCUGACCCCUGAACACACAGAGAAGCCAAGGCCAAGCAGGUUGAAGACAGGCAGUCCCUAGCCUCUAGCCCUCCUGGCUAUACCACAAACGUGGACAUCAGACUGAGCAGAGCAGGCCAGUGGCCAAGGUCAAAAUUGCUUUCAAUGUCCUGUCCACCAAGUGACCUGUGGACCUAGCCUGCCUCUCUGGGGAGGGACAUUCCAAAGACAACCAGCCACCUUCUCUCUGCCCUCCCCACCUCAUCAGGCCUCCGGCCCUGGGUAUGUGGGCCUCCCCCCACAUCCCUGGAGCCUGGCACAGCCUCCCUUUGGAUACUCACCAUGGGUGGACAGCUGGGACCAGCCUUCCCCAUAAGGGAAAUUCUAGAUCCCACCAAAUUCCAAAUUCCAUGGCCUUAUCUGGCACCAUUCUGUCUGGCCUUUCAUGGGUUUCCUUGUGUGGGAGGAAGGACCUCCCGCCCACAGAAAGAUUAUGGGGCAGGGAAGCAGGGAAGUGGGGGUUCCCCACCUUCCCACCACUCAAGCUCCCUGGAUGUGUCACAGACUUGUACCAUGGCUGGAACACACAGGUUGUUUAUAUGGAGAGCAGCCAGGAACAGGGAUUUGGGGUGUGGCUGGGGGUAAAGACAAUGGGCUUGACAGCAGCAAGCCACCUCCAUGGUGAAGUCAUUGUCCCAUUUAACCCUGUCAGAGCAGAGAUGCUACAGCAAGGCAAAUCACUUCCUCUCUCUGAGCCUCAGUUUCCCUGUCUGUUAAAUGAGGGGGUUGGACUAGUGAACCAUAGGAUUCCUUAUAUGAAAGCUAUAUAAGCUGUGCAUCGUAAAGUCCCCUUAGCCCAGCAGCCUAUAGAAUUUCCUGAGGGGCAGAAGGUGCCAUUGUGACACCCACUGGCCUCUUCCAAGCAUUUCCUGCUGGGCACCCUAAAAAUACAGUAGGGGUGAGGUGGGGGUUGGCGAGAGUAUGGGCUCGGCCAUUGCUAGAGUCGUCAUUUCACACAUCAGCAAACGUGCCUCUGGAGGGAGUGCUCUCGCACUGAGCUUGGCGUGGCUGGCUCCUUGUCAUCCAGGUCUCGGCUCCAAUGGCCCCUCCCCAGAGAGUCCUUUCCUGGCCCCCUGCCUCUUUUACUCUUCUUCCAGCACUUCUUGCCAUCUGGAAUGGUUGUUUGAAUACAGACUUAUGUGUUGACUCCCCAGCCUGGGAGCGCAGGGCUGUGUACGCUCAGCAAUGUACCCUAAAUGCUCAGAACGGUGCCCAGCACACGGUGGGCCCUUGUGAACAGGUGCUUAGCAAACGAAAAACCACAAUCGUACGUAAAAAUCUUAAGAGUUUUUUUUUUUUAAUGCACAUGCCUGGCCUUUACCCUAAAGGUUCUGGUUUAGGGACUGUGGGCCAGGUUUGGGCAUAUGAAUUUUGACAAAACACCCCAGGUGAUUCUGUGGCACACUUAUGUUAAAAAGAGACUAGCUUGGUCAUUCUCAACCUUAGCUGGACAAUGGGAUCACCUGGCACCUAGGUCCCACCCAGAGAUCCUGACUUAAUUGGUCUUGGGUUCUGGCCUGGCCGUCAGGAUCUUUAAAAGUCCCCCAGGUGGUCCUCUUGUGUAGCUGAGGUAGAGGACCCUGGAACCUGAGGAUCUCCAAGGCCUCUCUGAUCCAAAAUUCUGCAUUCUUGGAAAGCCCUGCAAGGUUAAGCCACUUGUUCCACACAGCAAACUGAAUUCUCAAAUGGGGAAACCUCCUUGUUGAACCCUCCUGCAAAGAUGAAGAAAGGGAUACCCUUUUUGACCCUCAUAGAUGAGUUGAAAGCAUUGCCAGAAGCCUUGUGGCCCAUCUCCGAUGACUGCCCAGGAACUCCCAGGAAUGGCCUGUGGCUCUGUGCACAGCCCCCCAGCACCUCCUUUUCCUGGCAAGCCAGCUGAGCUGUGUCAAAACCUAUCUCAUCUCCUCCUCUGAUAGCACACAGUUUUAAAUAAGAUCUUCAUUUACCAGAAGUUCACACCACCGCGUAUGUGUUAUAUGAGAAGUAGCAAUCUUGUGUUCAUGAGGGAAAUGCAGUCAGGGAGGGUGGAGGAGAGCCGAUUGCAGAGGGAGUGCACAAGGAGGGAGGAACUCGUGGAACCUGAGCUGGUGGCCCAGCCCCGGCCCCAGCCCCAGCCCUGGCAGUGCCAUGCUCCUCUUGGCUCAGCACGGGGCUGGAGGGGGAGGGGCUCCCACUUUGCAAGCUGACCUCAGCUGCUGGAAGGCUUGGAGCAAAUGGGCAUGUGAUGUCACCGUGAGCUCCGCCAGUUGGCAGCCCUGGCCUUGCUUUGGGUCAUUUACAUGUCUUCAGUUGGUUAAGAAGGAGCUCUUACUGCCGAUUUAUUAGUUGCCGCCUGCCUAGCCUUGGUAGCUGUGAUAAGGAAGGGGUUUAGGGGCCAUGGAUGGAUGCCAGUCCCCCAUGGCCAUGCUGCCUCACUUCCCAGCACAGCCUGCCAUGCAGCAUGUCAGUGAAUAAACCAAUUCCAGUAGGAUGGGGCUUGACAGUUUCCAGGGUGUUCUCAUGCAGUCCUCCCAACCACUCUGUGAGAUGGGCAUGAUUACCUUGCUCGUGGAGAGGAAGAAACCAAAGCUCAGGGAGCUUGAGUGCCUUGUACACAAAGCUGCGACCUUACUCCAGGAUUUCUGCCAGCUGUGUCUGCACCUGAUGGGGGACUUGUGGGCAGGUCGCUGUCCCUCUGAAUGUGGUCUGCAGUAUUUCUACUUCCACAGCACUUGUCCAUUCUGAUGGCCUAAAUGCCAAGAGAACAGGGAUCAAGGACCAGUGUGCCCUGUGACCUUGAGCAAGGUUGUUUCUGCCUCAGACCUCAAUUUUCCCAAAGGUAAAGCAAGAGUUGGACUGGGUGGUCUUCCAGGAAGGUAGGACCCCUCGGCUUUUCGUUGCAGGUUUUCAAGUGUGUCCUAGCACCGAGGAGAUGAGGAUCCUGAGGUGGCCCCAUCCCGGGGUCCUGAGGUGGCCCCAUCACGGGGUCCACAGUACAAGGUCAAUGCACUUGUAAUAAAUAUUGAGCCAACCAAUGCUGAGCCGCAUCCCUAGCCUCUGAAUAAAUAAAAUGUUGCCCAGAAUAACAGCCCGGAAGAUGCUGGCGGCUUCAGCCAGCUCUCACCUUUGCCUCUCCCACUGGCCAAGCCUGUCACCCGUCCCUAUACUCCCUUGUCUCCCCCUUCCCUCUGCCUCCCCACUCCACGGUCCAUCACUCUAGCUCCAGAGGUGGCCACCGUCCCAGCCUGGCUUUAGUUUCUAGCUCUGCAGCCUGCAUCUCCCUCUCCCAGCCCCUCAGCUGCCACAGCAGUUAAUGAGGACCAACCCCUACAGAUGGCAGCUGGGAGACAGGCCAGCCAGGUUCUGGUGGGGCUGGGGUGGGGCACAGGGAACUGGAGGUGGGGCACAGGGGAGUGUGCCUUUAAUCCCCAGCACCAGACAGAAGCCUUUCCUUCUUUGUCAGGACCCUUGCUGGCAUUUCCUCCUGCAGCCCAUCCCUGGGAGAUGAACUGGUCCAACUCCUGCAGGAGGCCAGCCCACUCUAACUGCUCUUGGCUGAGGCCGCCAGGAGAUUAGAAACAGGGUCCACAAAGGAACCUGGUCCCAGGGUGCUCCAGGCCACACAGGCACACUUGAUUUGAUGCUUCUCUGCCUGAUGAGUGUGCAAGUACAGUUAUAUGUGUUAUAUGGCUCCCUUCUUUUUACGGUUCAAGUUUCUCAGGGGCAGAGCCGGUUAGGUCAAGUGUGAAGUUACAAAAUGUUAGCACUGAAGAGAUAUCUUCCUCAUUUUAUAGAUGAGGAAAUUAACCUCGGGGGUGGGGGGCGGAGAUAAGGACACUUGCCCAGGGUCACACAGCCAGGAAGCAGCAAAAGAGCCUGGAUUUGGAGCCUGAUUAGGGCCUGUGCCCUUGGCCCGCACUUGACACCGCCCCCUCCAGGGGCUUUUGCUGGGGCCCUCACGGAGAUGAGGCUUCAUUCUUGAGAUUCAGGCCUGGCCCAGAGAAGUCCAAGCCAGGGAAUCGAAGCUUCUUGGUCCCAAGGUUUAUGGACUGCCCUGGGGAAACAGUACCCCAUCGGAAAACCUGCUCUCUGCUCUAUGAAAAGGACCUUCACCAUGUUGUGGGGUUUCACUGAAAAGUAUUCUGGGGACCAGCAUAAGAAGCAAAGCCCCUUGUAUGACCUUCCUUUGGUCUGUCAAGCUGUGUGAGAACCAGCAGGGAGCCCCUGGGGUGGGAAGCUCAAAGCCCCAGGCAGAACACACCUUCCCUUUGCAAGGCACUUUCUAGAUGGAAUCCCUGGGGAGAAGCCUAAUAGCUCAGUGCAAGAGGCGUGUGGGGUUUCAUCCCCAUUCUACAGGUGAGAGCACCUAGAUGCAGCUAGAAUACUUGGCCAGAGUCUUGUGGCUAAGACAGUUCCCCAGCCAGUUCCAGGCUGCUGGGUCUGGGGGCCCUGCUGCCUUGUUAGGAACUUGGGAGACUUGGAAACCUGGGCCUCUCUUCCUCUGCUCUAUUUGCAGAGGUCCCAGGGUCAUUCUGAACACAUCAGGGAGACUCAUCCUAAAAGCUGGGUUGAGGGGACAGGAUUUGGCAUCCAGAUCCCCUCCCCAGCAGGCCAGAUAGAUUCCCACUGGUCUCCUGGCCCAGAAGGAGAGGCCAGCCCUUCCCACCCCCAGCGCCCAGGGGGGCCCCUCCUCCCCCGGCCUGGCUGCAAUGCCGGGCCCCUAUUGCAGGACUCGCUGCCGCUGCCUCUGACUCUGCCUCUGCCUCUGCCUCUGCCUCUGACAGACAUCCCGCCCCAGAAGAUAAGGAUCCUGUCUGGCGCCGGAGUGCUUUUUUUCCUCCUUCUUUCCAAAUCUGUUCCCUGAUUAUCUGCAGACAGCCCCUCGCUAGGGGAGCCACCAGGGAAGGGGCCCAGACCACAGAGAAAGACAGGAGGGGUGGGACUAACAGGCCUGCAGCCACCAGCCCUUCUGAACCCCUCUGGGGGCUUGAUGGUCAUUUGCUGAGCCCCCACUGUAGCCAGAGCCCUGAACUCAGCAGAGAGCUGAGGACUGGUUUCCCUGGGUGGGACUGACCCACUUCAGCGGGAAGAAGAGGGUAUGUGGACUGGAGGUUGUGCCAGCGUGGGCUGGGAUGGGGACAGAGGGUGGGGUUCCUUCCGUGGUCAGCGUUCCUCAGCCUUGGGCCUGGAGAGCACCCAGAGGGGAUGUGGUAGAGGCUUCAGCCAGCCAGACGGCCACAUCCUGUGGGAGACAUUGGCCCUUCCCAGGCCAGACGGUGGGAGGACACUUAGGGACUGGUAGGGGGGUCCUAGGGGGUUCCCGGAGCCCAGCCUCCAGCCCUGAGGACUGAGCUUAGAGAAUGGCCAGGGCUGGUGUGGCCUCUUGGCCUCAACCUGAAAAGGAAGGGCAGCUCCCCACCAACUGGGCUUCAGACCAGGCACCAUUGUGGAAUUCCAGCCUUAGAGUGCCCAAGCCGCUGAGAGCCCUAGAGAGCACCUGGUCGCAUCUGGGCCAUCUAUAGACAGAGGGACCCAUGUGGAAGGCAAAGGGAUCAUCCCCACCUCGCCCACUGGCAUGUCAGGAGCCUGCAGCAUGGGUCCUACUGCCCUGGGAGCUGGGAGCCCUAGUUCAGGUCCACACUCUGCCACUAAUACGCUGUGUGACGUUAGGCAAGUUCCUUUCCAUCUCUGGGUCUCACUCGUCAACUGUAAACUGAAGGGGCCUUCUGGUCGGGGCAGGAGGGAACAGUGGAGAUCUGAGUCCAAAGACCUUUCCAAACUUUGUCAAACUCCUCAGGGUUGUUGUAAGAUUCAAUGAGAUAUUGAAGGUGACACCUUGGCUUACAGUAGGUGCCCCAUAAGUAUGAGUAUGUCCAGCCCUUGACAGCUCAGACUAGGGACCUCAGGACUGGGCAAAGCCUGGGCAGUUGAGUUCCCCUCUGUGAGAAUGUGCUUGUGUAGCCUUAGAGAAAGACCCUACACCUUCCCUGCCCCCAGCAUCCCUUGCCAUGCCCGCCCUGCCUCACCUAAAACAUGUGGGGGAAGGGAAGCAAUGCAAGAUCAUUUUUUAUGGCUUCCUGGCCCUGGAGCCAGAGGGCUGAGGAUCGGGUGGUGUGGGCCGGAUUCCUGAGCCCCCCUUCAGAGCCAGCUCGUAAAUAUGAAGCCGGGGCAGGGAGGAGCUGGCUGUUAAGCUGUCAGCAGAGGCCCAUUUAGAAAGUCGUAAAGCGUUUCUCAGAGCUCCUCAGAGCUGGGACCCAGGGCCCUCCCGCCCCACACUGACCGGCAGUGGCCUCCUCAUUCAUGGGUGCUGGGCUUCCCUGCCCGAGCCCCCACUGGAGACUCCCUGGCUCUUGCCAUUAGCUGUGCCUUGGUUUCCUCUCUGUGCAAAGGAAGUCUGCUCUGCUUCUCCUCUGGGAGAAUGGAUGGGGAGGUCCAGUGAAGCCCUCAAGAGGCCAGAGGGACCCUGGUCCUGAGAGCAGUGAACCCCCAUAUUUAUCAUUCCCUUCUCUGUGCCUCGCUCCAAGGGGACCCAGAACCUACCCCCAAGGAGCUCACAAAAUUCCACUUAGGAAUGAGAGAAGAUGCAUGCCCCUGAAGAGAACGCCCACAUUUUCUCCAGCUCAGAGGAGUGAGCUCCACGGCUGGGAUGUGGAAGGCUUCCUGGAGGAGGUGGAGGUGUAGAUGGGGGCUCCAGGGUAUUCAGAGGUUUGGAGAAGAGGCAGGAAGCACAGGUGGUGGGCAAACAGGCCUGCCUGGGCGGAGGGUAGCUAGGAUCCCAGGCUGGGUGUGGAAUAGCAAAGGCCACAGAGCCUGUGAGCAGAGGCCCACUCUGGGGACCAAGUGCACGUUCCCUAAUGACCCCUGUUUGCCUGGUCACCAAGACUCGUGUUUAUGUGGAAAAGCUCUGGCAACAGCAUGGGUUCAAAUACUACCCUCCCUGCUUCCAAACCACGUGUUCCUGGACAGUUUAGCCCAUGUGAGCCUCGUCUUCAACCACAAAGUGGAAUUAAUAGCAAUCUACCCCAUAACGUCUCCAUGAGGUUUAAAUGAGAUUUUAGAGAGAGAGCCGUCUCACUCAGUGCUUGGGCAUUUUUGGAGUUGGUUAGCCUGGGUCUGAAACUCGGCUCUGCCUCUUACUGACCAUGUGCCCUUGGGGUCACCUCUUAAGACCUCAGUUCUCUCAUCUGUAAAGUGGGGGUAAGAGCAGUGAGACGUCAAUAAGUAAAUACACGGGAAGUCCUCAGCACAAAGCUGGCAAUCCUGAGUGCAUUAACUAUUAUUAUGCAAGGUGUUCCUGCAGCACCUAGUGUGAAGGAGGUGCGGUGAAGUCCGUAUUGGAAGCCUCCUGCCUCCAUCUCCAGCCUGUGGCCUCUAUAGGAUCGGGAAGGAGGUAGUUUUACUGGGAGCAGAAGUGGUCUUUACUAGGACUUUGUAAGUCCUUUAUUCUGUCUCAAGAAAUAUUUGAUGCUCACCUUAAGGCAAGUGGAAAUGGUAAAACCUCAGCCAGUCCAUUUCCCUCAUUGGUGAUGAGCCAGGUGAGCCUGGGGGAAGAGGUGUGGUACCUGGAGCUGGGGAAGAUGAGGAAGGUGGGGAGAGGCUCCUGUCAGGCAGGUAAUUGGGGAUCAAGGGGCUUCCUGUGUCUUCCCACAGAAGGGGACGGGAGACAAGGCAGCUUCCACUGAGUCGCCUCAUUAACUUCGCCACAAAUAGCCCAACAGCCUGUAACUCCCUCAGGCAGAAAUCUGGAGCUGUUCAGAAGCUAAAUAAAUAGGAGUGUGAUCAUUAAAAACUAGAGGUGCUGGGAGCCCCCCUGCCCUGGGUGGAAAGCCCGUUUCCUGUUGGAAACACCAGUCUCCCUACCAUUUGGAGCCACAGGAAGGGGUUGCUCGAAGACCUCAGGGGUAAACUGUUCUGGAGGGUGCAAAGGGUCCUGAAAGUCAGGCAAAAUCCCCACAACGCCCACCCUGCCCAGGGCCCACUUCUCCAGAGUGGCUCUUUUCUUCCCAAAGUUUCCAGUGACCCCAAGUUUUGUUGCUCACACUCACUCCUGUUCUCAAUCCUGUCACUCAGAAUGUCUUGUGGUUUCUGAUUAGCGAUAGGCCCUGCUGGACGUCUGAGGCCUCGACUCCAUGCUUACAUUUGCAUUUAUUUUUUUUUAGUCUCACUCUGUCACCCAGGCUGGAGCUCAGAGUCGUGAUCUCAGCUCAUUGCCACCUCCACCUCCUGGGUUCAGCUUCCCAAGUAGUUGGGAUUACAGGCAUGAGCCACCAGGCCCGGCUACUUUUUGUAUUUUUAGUAGAGAUGGGGUUUCACCAUCUUGGCCAGGCUGGUCUUGAACUCCUGACCUCAGGUGAUCUGUCUGCCUCAGGCCUCCCAAAGUGCUGGGAUUACACACCUGGGCAGCAUUUUCACUCUCUUAUACAUAUCCUCAGAAGCUUAAUUAUUAUUACUAUUUUAAAGACAGGGUCUUGUUCUGUUAUCCAGGCUUGAGUGCAAUGGCGCAAUCAUAGCUCACUGCAGCCUCGACCUCCUGGGCUCAAAUGAUCUCCCGCCCCAGCCUCCCUAGUAGCUAGGACUACAGGUGUGCACCAUCAUGCCUGGCUAAUCCCUAGAGGCUUUAGACGAGGGAGUUAAGGCUUCUGCCUGCUCAGACUUAGAAAUGGAGGCCUGGUAACACCCUGUUCAUUUCCCUGCCCUUGAGCUGUCCUGGGAUGGUGGAAGAGAGGGUGGGUUCAGAUUUGAGUGGCGUGUCUCCCAGCCACCCUAAGCCAACCUCUGCCCCCACAGUGCCAGUGACCCAGGGAAGACUGACUUAUCAUCUCCCUCAAUGUGCCAGAAAACCUCUCAGCUAGUAGAUACCUUAGUGUCCAGGGCUUACUUGCGUUGGGAUGGCAUUGGGGGUAGUGGGGCAGGUUUUAGCAGCGGCCUUGGGAAGGGGAAACAUUUUCUAUAAAGGAACAUUAACAGAGGUGACGCCCCACCCCCAGGAGAACCUCGUUAUGAAGAGGGGGUGCCUGAGGUGGCAGGAGGCCCCAGGCACAGGGAGGGAAUGGGCCUGAGGGUGGCCAUCGAGUUCGGGUGGGUGGGAUGAGGGUCGCCCGUCCUGACUGAGCAGUUAGGGGCUCCUCAUGCAUGUCACUGGCUGAUCACUUAACCUCUUGGGCCCUGUUUCCCCAUCACUAAUAGUUCCAGCCUCAUGGGAGGCUGUGCAUGUUAGUCAAAAGGUCCAUGCCAGGCCCUGCCCAGCGCUGAGGUUAGCUUCUGGUGCUUAGCUGCAGUGGCCCAGUCUGGAGAGCCCACUCCACCCCCAGUCCUCUGUUCAGCAGUGCAAGAGCAGGGCAUCCACGGGGGCGGGCAGUGGGCACACACCCCUGCUGGAUGGGUGGGAGCCCCAGAGAUUAUAAGCAGAGCAUAUGGUGGCUGGUGCCAGAGGGCCCCUGGGUGACCCUGAAGCCCAGAUUCCUCCGGUCAUCUUCACAGGGUUCCCUCCUGUGAUCUGCAUGUGAGCACACACACAUCUGGAUUUGGCAGACCCUGUAUAUAUACUAAACCCCUGGGCCUGCCCUCGGGAGGCUGCCCAUUCUGUGAGGGGACUGGCCUUGGGCUCAUGGAGAAAUAAACAGGUGCCCAGUGUGGGGUGCCUGGAGGCAGGAAAGGCUGGGCUGGGGCUCCAGGCGGGUGAGGGAAGGUGGCAUGUUAGCUGCUGUUCCUGCUGAGCCUUCCUUCCCUCCCCACCUACCCCACCCACCCUCACGGUCUCUCCAUUCUCCACCUCAGAAGCCCUGCUGCAGGAGGGAGUCCCGGAGAUUAUGAGCCGCGCUUCUCGUGUGCCAACCUGUGCCCCCUCCCCCCAUGGGCAUGCUCACUCUUCUGCCAUGCGGCCUGCUGCAUUUUUUUGGAUGACUUGGGCAGCUGUUGGUGUCCGGCCCAAAUCUGCAUCCUCUGGCUUCUGCCCACUGGCCCAGGCCAGCCACUCACCACCAAGGAUACUUCAAUUCCUCUUCUCAUGUAACCUCUUGAGCGUGAUACCCCUUCUCCCAGUAGGGGGGACCCCAGUAACCCCAGGAAGGAAGGCAGGCUCUCAGGGUGGACUAGCCAUAGUGGUGAUGCCCGUGGCCUGCCUCUGAUAGGCACAGGCCGUGGGCACAGGGCCAGCAGGGUGGACACGGGUGAUGAGGCCUGGAAGGUCCAAACCCCAUCCCUCGCCCUGUCUUCAGACUCCAGCCUCCCAAGGGGCCCUCACGAUCGCUUCCUGUUAGGGUCACGGCUGAGCAGAGGCUACCAGCAAUGAUUUCCUCCCGGCCCAGCAGCUGCCCGCCGCCUGCUCCUCCUCCCCCACUGUCGCUCCACUACUCGGUCUCAUUUCUAAAAGACCUGAGGGGAGGAUGGGGGCAGGAACAGCAGAGGCGUAGCUGAUAUUUCUGGCUGUCCAUCUGUCUAGCUUGAGAAUGCCUGUGGCUGAGAAACCAAAAGGUUCCUUUGACGGCCCUUAGAAGAAGAUGGGGCAGGCCCCUUGGUACCAGUCCCCAAGGGCCAAGAAGAAGACUUUAAUAGGAAUCCCUGCCUGAAGGGCAAGUUCAGGAUGGCCUGCUGAGCUUCUUGUAAUUAGCAGCCUGCGAAUCCAAGAUUCUAUAAUUUUGUUGUUGUUGUUGUUUUUGGACUUGAUGUGUCUGAGAGUCCAUCAUCAUGGUAGCCUACAUGUAUGCCAGGAACUGGUCAGAUCACUCUACUUGUAUUGACCCUAUUCAUCUUCAAAGCCUCCUUAGGCAAGAACUAGGCCCCCAUUUUACAGAGGAGAAAACUGAGGCUUAGAGAAGUCAAGCAACCAGCUGGGUUUCAUGUCCUAGCUCCAGACCUCCCAGGGCUCCUGUCUUGAGACUCAGUUAGCUGUGAUUCACUUUAGCUAGAGGAGAGGUUGCCUAAGCAGGCCUGAGAAGCUUGGUGGGUUGCCAGUGCCGAAGGCCCCCCCAGAGAGUCUGUAACUGAGUAGCUUCAGCAAGAGCCCCGCAGAAACAUCCUACAGGCACCUGGCUUGUAAAGACACAUGAAGACCUCCUCAAAUGCCCCAUAUCCCCACUGCCGCGUAGCCCUCUCCAGUCAGAGAACUAGCUCGUGUCCUGGGUUAGUGCUGUCUCCAGGGCUCUAGUCUGCUCCAGGAGUGAGCCAGAGGCCCUGGUGAACACAUGUAUUAUCUGAGCAGGGGGAGGCUGCAGAGAGAGGGGAAAUGUGCUUAUCGGGCACAUCUAGCUCUGUCCCUGGGAGGCUGAGCUGUACUUGAACAAUAACAGUAGUAACUGGCACCACGACAGAAGGCCCGUCUUCUCCUUGGCCUGGCAUCUCCCCAGGAGAUCUCUAUCUUUAAAUCACAGGCUGUCGGAACUGGAAAGAGCCUCCCAUUACCAUUGCCCAAGUGGAGGCCCAGUGCUUCUAAGUGCCGCCCAAGGACGCAGGAUCAUCAUGGUGCACCUGGGCCAUUAGAGUGGGUGAAGGCCAGGCUAACAGUAAUAAUAAACUUCUAACAAUAGAGAUAAUAGCAGCCUGUUAGUUAUCUUGUGUAUCACCUCCUAUGUGAUUACAGCCUGGAGGGAAUGUGGGGCUGGCCUAGAGUCACCACAGAAGGAGGUGAGACUUGCCUAGCAGUCCCUGGCUGCCAGUGAGAUGCCCACACACGACCUGGUGCUCAGAGAGGCUGCACAGAGGCCCAGCUUGCUGGUCGGCUUUGUGGAGGCCUGAGGCCCUUCUUCCUAGGCCAACCCCAGCCCCCUGGAGUGCAGUGGGGAGAGGACAUGGGGGGGCGUGGCAUUCCCUCACAGUCUGUCUCAGGCCCUCCCUGUGACUCCCUUCCUGCGUGGCGUCCGUCGGCCGUGGCCCAGACCCUGUGUCUGUUACUAUGACAUGUGACCUCGCCCCACCUCCCCCUGGGUGAGAUGAUCUCCUUUGUAGGGAUGAGGAAGCUGAGGCCCACAGUGCCCAAAACGACAUGGCCAGAAAGUGGUAGUGCUCAUUGUGAGGUACUUUGAGGUCCCCCGAGCUAGUUCAGCAGAGAGGAAAGACUGCUGAGGGAGAGGAGAGCCUGGCGUGGGCUUCUUUCCAGCAGCUGAGUGGGCAGCUUCCUCUUCAUCUGGGCCCUGCACCAAUACAGUCAGGUCUGCCCCCCUCUCCCUGGGCAGGGCCUGUCCACCCUCUAGAGACAUCAACACAGCCUGUGGUCACCAAGAUUCCAGGGGGAUCCACUUUGUAGCUGGAAUGUGGUCACCCUGCAGUUCAGGCCCUUGUAUAGCCAUUGUCCGUGUGAGACCCUGGCUGUCCCUGCAGAGGGUUGGCGGUCUGCCAUGGCAGGCCAGGAGUGCCCAGUGCCCUCUCCUGCCACAUCCGUUCCUGUAGAUGAUUGGGUCUGGGCUCUUGGUCGGCGGCCCCCAGAAUCUCACACACACGUGUUGGAGGUGUCUUUAUGAUGCCUGGGUGAGGGAGACGGGGCCACGGUGUCACUCUCUCUGUCCUGGGCUUGGCCCUGCCAGCAGCAGGGCACUGGGUGUGUCCCAGCCUUCCAGCAGGUGGGGCCAUGGAACACCCAAUGAGGACCUCAGCCCACCCAUUCAAGAGUCUGGGGAGCCGGGCGCGGUGGCUCAGGCCUGUAAUCCCAGCACUUUGGGAGGCUGAAGCGGGCGGAUCACCUGAGGUCAGGAGUUCAAGGCCAGCCUGGCCAACAGGCUGUAUUUUGUAUUUUCUAUUAAAAAUACAAAAAUUAGCCGGGCAUGGUGGCACGCGCCUAUAAUCCCAGCUACUUGGGAGGCUGAGGCAGGAGAAUUGCUUGAACCCAGGAGGCGGAGGUUGCAGUGAACUCAGAUCUCAUCACGGCACUCCAGCCUGGGCGACAGAGGGAGACUCAGUCUCAAAAGAAAAAUAAAAGAAAAAGAGUCUGGGGGCUGCUUUAGGGCCAAGCAGAAAGAGCCUGGGCUUCAGAUCAGUUUCCCCAUCUGUGCAGUGGGGGCUGUCACACCUUCCCUGCAGCAGCACUGUGCAGUGAAACUUCUUGCAGGGAUGGGGACGUCUUCUGCCUGCACUGCCCAGUCUGGUAGCCACUAGCCACACGUGGCUAUUGAGCACUGGAAAUAUGGCCAGGGUGAUGAAGGAACUGAACUUUUAAUUUUAAUUAAAGUUUAAACAGCCACAUAUGGCUAGUGGCCACUGUGUUGGAUGGCACAGCUCUGAAGGCUUCUGGGAAGAUGCCAUCCAUCAAGUGCCCAACACCAAGGUUCUCAGCCAGGGUUAGUUCCCUUCCCUGUUCCCCGGGGGGCUUGGGAAGCCUUCGCCACCCCCUCCUCAGAGGCCACCCCACCUGGAUGGCCAAGGUUGGAGAGACUAGACAGUCCAGGGUGGGCUGGAAGGAACAUGGAGGAAAAUCAGAACCACAGCUACAGGGAUCACCUAAGGUCACUGGGUGAAUACUACUUUUAAAAUCUCUUCUGUGCCUCGUGAUAAUAACAUUGGUUGAGUUCUAACCAAAUACCAGGCACUGCGUGAAGGACCUUAUGUAUCAGGCUGCUUAACCCUUGGAGCUAACCAUUGUUCUCCAUAGUUUAUAAUUGAGUACACCGAGGCCCAGAGAGAUGAAGCAACUUGCCCGAGGUCACACAGCUGGUGUGUGGUAGUGCCAGGAUCUGCACCUGGGUGUGUCUGUCUGCAGAGACUGUGCCCUUUGUACAAGCCCAGGUCUCUCCAUUUAUUUAGCCAUCACCUAUUCUGCUGUAUCUAGUACUGGGCCAGGCAUCUUUAGGGACAGAGAAUUGUGCAACACAAGGUUCCUGCCCUCUUAGUCUCCUUGGAGGAACUCCCUGCACAACACGCCCACAACAGAAAUGAUGCAGGGUGCCCCCAGGCAUAAUCAGCAUGAGACUCUGAGCCCUGGCCUUCACAGGGUGGUGGCAGGUUCAUCCCUACAGCCUGGGCCAAUGCCUGCUGGGUAAGGGUGGCCCCCCACCCCAGGGCCACUCAGGCAUUAUGACGACACCCUAAACUUGGGUGUUAAGGUUUGGUUAUAAUCUCCUAAGAUGACACCUAGCCCCUGGGACGUUGCCUGGCACUGCAGAAGGUUUACAGUAAAUAUCAGUUGGGUGAAUGGCCUCUAGUGUUCCAGUGAGCCAGGCAGAAGAGUCAUAUCCUUCUUACAGAGGGCACAGAUCUGGAGGAACCUGGAGACUUGCCCUAAGUUUGCCCCUACUCAGGCCCCUGCUUCUUUCUGAGGCUAGCCGGGGAGCAGGUGGAAGGAAAACACUCAGCUUGCAUACGUAGAGAGGCAAGUCAUAAAUAUCACAACCUCCAAGAGGAGAGGAGGGAGGAGGGAAGGCGGAUCCUGAGAGCUAGGAUGUCCGCUUCCGAGAACCCGCGAUCUGCAGCCGCUGCCAGCAAGGUCCUGCAGGUCCUAGGGACACCCUGUGUGCAUGCAUGCAUGCCUGUGUGCGCCGAACUGGUUGGCGGCGGGGGCGUGCUGGCGUGCUUGUGUGACUGUGGGCGACCAUGGCACGCAGACCGCCUCCAGCUCCCGCUGGCCCUCCCCAACCCACUUCUCAGUUCUCCAGCAGCCAGAUGUCUCCCAGAUGUUCCUCACUUCCUGCCUGGCUCCGUGCAGUGCAUGUGUGUGUUUAUUUUGGACAGGCCACUAAAUAAUAACCAUUUUAAGAAAAGCUUUUCAAAACCUCGUUCCCACGAGGAAUCAGAGUUCAGGAAAUAAUCCCAAUUCUAUUCACUAUUGUCCCCGGGCUCCCUUCUCUGACCUCCUCUCCCCCAACCCUGGGGACCACUUUUGAAAAGAUUUCUUUUUAUCCUACAUGACGUGUGCUCUCUCCAUAACACCAUCUCUCUGGGAGCUAGGGCUUAGAGCUGGGAGCCCCUUAGAGCUUUGCUACCAGCAUCACCUGGAAGCUUGUUAGGAAUUCGAGGCCUCAGCACUGUCCCAGACCACAAUCAGUCUGCGUUUUGACAAGAUCCCAAGGUAUUCGCACCUACAUUCGCGUUUACCGUGAGCCUAGCUCUGUCUUAUUGAUGGGGUAAUGGAGGCUGAGUCUGGCAGGGGGGACCCUUCUAUCAGGUCUUCUUUAGCAGAAUCCCAGUAGGGCCUGGUGGUACAGACUGAGAGGCCCUGAGCCCUCAGAGCUUGGGGUCUGAACUGUCCUUCUGGGUGGGCUGGCGGGGAGAGGCAGCCCAGCUAGUCUCUGAUGUGGGGAGGCAAAGGGGUGGAUUCAUCCAGAGAAUAUGCCACCUCAUCCCUGGUAGCCAGCAUGGCCACAGACUAGGUCCCAUGCCAGCCUCGCCGUGCCACAUGGCCACUAGGUUUGGGCCAGUCCUAGAUCUGCUCUGUGGGCUCCUGUGAGUCCCUGCUCCACCCACAGCUGCCCUCUGGAGAUGGGUCUGGCCCUCCCUGUCUAUUCUGUAGGCACUCUGGGUGCUCAGGUGGGGUGCCACAAGCUGGUGUCCUCCCGUUCCAUUGUGACCCGGCUUGUCAUCCUGCCUCCUGUGAAAAUAGAGCAAAUCGUAUCAGCUCUGUUGGUCUCAGGGCAGUCCCAAGGACACGGGGCUGUGACUUACUGGUGAUACACCGCCAGCACCCUCCUCAUUUCUGGGCGUCAUGGCUCCCUCCUCUCUGUAUCUGAGCGAGGGUGUGCGGAAGGCCUGGCACACCUGGCUGGAGGUGGAGGUGGGGGCGGCCCCGAGAGAACUGAAGCUCAGGCUGUCCUCAGGCAGCUGGUGGCUUAGCUGGGAAACAAGACUCCCGCCUGUGGAAGCCUAAGGAGAAACCAGCCCCCAGUUCAGAAGCCCAGCAGUUGGUGAAGGCUGCCCUCGGUAAGGGAGACCUGGUAGGAGUUCAUUCGUCAACAAGACUGGCGUGGCUUGGGGGGCUGCAUACUGUACGCUGGGAGAGGUAUGACGCUGAGGAGGCAUGGAGGUCCCAGAAAGGCGGAGGACCCCAAGGGGAGAGGAUCCGAGAGGUUCCUUCCAGAAGGAUGGCUUUGUGGCUCUCCACACCCAGGGGCAGGUGAGAUCACAGUGGGGUGGGGGGCCAGGAUGGUAGGGGAGCCCACCUGAGGGAGGUGGGGCUGAAUCAGGGAAGCACCCUGUGGGCUCUCUGAGCUCCCUCUCUGCACAGGGACCAAGCUGUGGGUCAGAGUCCUACAUAUUCAAUAUCUAUUCACCAACAAUCAGUGGGUACAGGAUUGGCUUGUGGUAUCUCAGGGAAGGAGAUACUGGUUUCACCCUGGGAACCAUCCAAGCACCCAGGUCCCUGGUACCAGCUCUCAGCUCUUUGAUAGCAGUCUUGGGGCCUCCCUGGGUCCUGUCUCUGAGGAGCAGAAGAGGAGUUGAGCUCCCCCCACUUGCUUCCACCUCUCAGGUAGGCAGCCUUGCCUCUGGCCUUGGCAGCACUUUCCCAAGCAGGGACGCCCUGGGAGCCUAUACGGCCAGGAGGGAGGCAAUACACACAGCGCCCUGGAGAAAAGCCCCCCGCACCUCCAGAGCAGAAUGAGCUAGCGGGAGGCAGGGAGAAGGGGGGCCCACUUUCCCCUUCUUCCCCUGAGUUGGCACUUUUCUCUUUGAGUGUUAAACUCAGCUCUUCCUUUUUCUCCUAUUCCUGACAGCCUGUUGAAUAAUUUAAAUAUUUGGGCCUAAAGGGCUUCAAUUAUCCUUUAAUUUACAUUAGUAAUUUAUGUAUUAGGCAGAAUGGACACACGGUUAGUGUAACAACCCCCAGUAGACCGGCUAAUAUCUGCUGCACUCACCGUUCUUAAGAAUCUCAUCAUUUUUCUUUGCAGCCCAAGGUCUUUGUUUUCAAAGUGGCUCCUAGGCAUGCACUUUUACACAGACCUGUGUACAUGCUCAGGGGUACACAGCAGAGGAUGCCUGAACUCAUAGAGAACAUUGACAUGCACCCACUUACAGGCAGGCACACUGAAGCAGUGGGUACAGGCUCCUCCCUCUCUCUGUCUCUCUCUCUCUCUCUCUCACACACACACACACACACACACACACACACUCAUAGAUGUAAAACACACACCAUGUCAGACCAGCCAUCUCCACUCCCACCUGCACCCCACUCCUUCCUGUGGGCAGUAUGUACACAUAUGCUUGUAUUUGCAUCUGUUGGCCAGGUGAUCCCAAACAUAGCUCCCUCUGGCAAAGAGGCUACUGGGCCCCAGCAUGACAUUCAGAUGUCCCAUUCUGUGUCCAAGCUUUCAGUCCCUUUUUGCACAGCCCUACACAGGCACCUCACCCCAGGGUUGAACGCACUCAUGAGAACGUGACCACGGCCACAGCUCCAGUGUGCUCACAUGCUGUGGGCUGGCACCAGCUACAAAGUCCUCCUGGGCUUCUCAGGCAUGCUCCCCUCCAGAGCCUGCAGCCUGGGCACCAGUAACCUGGCAUGGCCUAAGCUAUUGCCCUGACAUAGCUAGGCUGCCAAAGGGACCCCAUUUGGGAUUGCCAAUUCCUGGCUGCCCCUCAAAACUUGGCCCAGCUGCCCCAGCACCAGCUUGCAAGGAUUGAGGGCUCCCCAGGGGGUGGGGACAAAAGUGACAGAGAGUGAUAACCCUAUGUGUGAGUGUAUAUUCCAAGCUUGUUAAGCUGGGUUGGGCCCCUGGUUCUGUGGAACGCACCUUGCACCUCUGUGCCGAGACCAUGCUAUACAGGUGAGGCCCUUGGGAUCCAGAGCCAUCUCUGAGAAUGUGGCUUUCCAGCUGUCAUUUCUAACUCCAGGAGAGUCCCCUGGCAUGGUCCCUGGCUCCUCCUACCACCCUCAUCUCUCUCCCACAGCCACAAAGCACAGAGCAGGUAGAAGGCAGGUAAUGCAGUGGGCAGUGCAGAUAUCUGAUUGGUGGGGUAGUCCAUUAUACAGAAGGAAAAACCAAGGCUGCAGGAGGUUAGGGCAUGGAACAGAUAGGUUACUUAGAGAAUCUUCUGGAAAGGUCCCUCUUAGGGGCACUGGCCACGUAUCCCAGUGCCAUGAGGGCUUUUGGAGCCCAGAUUUCCCUCUUCCCACUCCAGUGCUCAGGCUGUGGUUCUGGUUGGGAUGGGGUGGGGACGUGGUUCCUCUCCCCAAGCAUAUGUUUAGGCUCAGGAGAACAGCCCAGAGGAGCUAAGUGGAAAGUGUGUGGCCACAGGUGCCCAUCUCUGUGCCUCUUCAGGAGACUGCCAUGACACCAGGCAUCUCACCACUCUUGAGCAGGGCAGAGGUGCUGGGAGCCCAUGGCAAACCCCGCUGGGCCUGAGCCACCUGCCUGCUGAAGGCCUCUUACCAGGUGGUGCCCCAGGCCCUGCUCCCCAGGAUGCCUUGAAUGAAGGGGCAGUGCCGGUGGGGGAGACAUCAGAACUCCUUUCCCCCCGGCCCUAGGGAUGACCCCGAGCCUCCGGCCGUUCUGCUGGGUCCAAAUGGGAUACUUCCUACCGGGUUGCAUGAGCUAGGCCCCUUCUGGAAGUCCCCAUCAUUGCCCCUCUCCCAGCCUUGGCCUCUCUUCUUCAUCUGUCUGGCCUGGCUUGGGUGUGUGGAUGCUUCCUCAAGUCCCAGCUUAAUUCCUGACUUUCCGAGGAAUCUUUUCCUGAUAGCUCCAACCUCCCCAGACCUGUAUAGCCUGUACCUCAAAAUCUAGGGCAGCAGUGGCAAACGGUUUAUCUCAGGUGGCUGUUUUGAAAGUUUGAGGGUGACUUCCCAGGGUGUAGUGUUGAGAAAUCUAGGGCCACAUCUGGACUCAUUUACAGAAGUCAGCAUUAAUUAGUGAUGUCUGCUGUGGUGUGGGAUGGGGAGGUGGUGGCUCUCAGGCUGGGCACAUGCCAAAACAGAUCCAGGGCUAAAUUCUAAAGUAUUGUUGCUGCGCUGCAGUGGUUUCCUGAAGGGUUAUCCCCCUCCUAGCUCCCAGCACUUUGGGGUAGAGAUUAUAACUUUUCUAAUUUAUAAUCUAUGGGAGUAUACUUCUGUCUCCUACAGAUUCUAAUAUAGAUCUAGAUACAUAGUAGACACUGAAGAGGGGAAUACUUACAGCAUGCUAGAGGUGGAAGGAAUUCUAGAGAUCACUGAGUUCAGGGAUGGCAAGUAGGUCUCCUCUUGCUACCAAUCCUGAACAAACAGUGAUGACUUUCAGGAGAUGUGCUGAUUCAGAGACUCAGAUCUGGCUCAGUUGGGUCAAUUAGUGAUGUCUGUCAUGGGCUCAGCCAUGGUAGUAGUUGUACCAAGGUAUUGCUAUCCCUGUUUUAUUUCAGUCUUCCAAAUAUAUUGAUAUGGAAACUAGGACUCAGAGUGGGUAAUCUGUCAGAGGUUACCCCGCUGCUUGCUUGGAUGGUUAGAGAAUCCUCACUCCUUCCAAAGGAGUUUCCCUGUCAGAGGUCAGGGUAAGGAAGGUAGAAUCUUCAAAGCCUGGAUAGACAAACUGAUGAUGUGUCUUUCUGAGACUGGUUCCUACAGCUGUAGUCUUUGUAUGUCUUCAUGCGGUUUUUAAACUUUUAAACUUUCACCUUUUGAUAUAGUAGGUGGUAGGUACAAUAGAAACGCUGUACAUGGCAUUUAAAGGCAAAUUGGAUUUUCUUCUGGCAGCCACCCUGGACUUCAGACUUGCAGGCCCCAGAGCACAGUUUAUCUCCCCAUCUGCAAGAGCGAUUUUCCAUUUGCUCCACAAUGGGAAAUAAGAAUCCAUCAUGUGCCAUUGUGUCAGGAAGGUGGUGUCUACUUUAAUAAAUUUGCUUUUAAAUGCUGGCUGUCUCUGGAGAUCGUUUCGCUCAUGCCUGCAGACAAAGUGAUUAAAGUUGCAGAGUAUACAUGGUUCCUGCAAAGACCCAGAAGGGGUCUUCUCGGUCCAUAUCUGAAACCCUUGCCACAUAGGGGAAUGAAUGAACCAAGAUAAUUCCUCUCCUGUGAGAGUCUCAGUGCCACAGGCUGAAGCACACACAGGGAAGAAUUGAGGAUAUUUAUUUUUCUUUAAGUUGUUUUCCCCCAGGAAAAAAACCCACAGGCUGGAGAUGUAUACCUCAAGUCAUUGAUUUUAUUUCCUCUCAAAUUGACCUUGCUUUUCUAGGACUUUGCCUCUUUAAGUGUACCAGGUGUGACAUCUUUGUAAGUAAAUGAAGUGCUGUGUAAUGUUCCCCUUCACCUCCUCCAACAAAAAAGUGAUUUGAAAUCUGGGUUAAAAAUAAGUGUCACAUAUAUAUAUUACAAUAUUUUCCCAAAUGCCUGUGCUUUAAAAAUGGGUGAAGGGACAGUUAACAUGCUCUUCAGUGGUAUCUGAAUCUUGAAUUUUAUUUUUCCAGGUCUAGUCCCUAUAUAGUUGAUCAUUCACAGUGACUCUAGGCUGAUCUCUUGCCCUCUCUGGGCCUGUUUUGCCAUCUAUCAAAUGGGCUAACUUUGGGCCUGAGCAGCAGGAAGCGUGAUAGAGCACCAGGCUGUGAGGGUGGCUCCCUUUUGUGUCUCUGCAUUGAGCAGGAUAGAGUUUGACCUGCUGCCUACCAAGUGUCCUGCCAUGAGUCCCAGAGCCCUGCAGUUAAUAGCAGCCACGCCCUCCACCUCACUGCCUGCUUCUGUGAGAGCGCUUUCAAAUCUCUCAUUCCUCUCAUCUCACAAUUACCCUGUGAAGGCGGGACUGGUAUUGCAUUGUACAAAAGAGGAAAGAAACCUGGGCUUGGAGAGAUUGCUAAUAAUGACAACCACUAGCAGUUUUUCAGCUUUUAUUAUGUGCCAGGCACUGCGCGAGCUUGUUGAAUGCAUUGCCUCAUUUAUUCUUCAGAGCAACCCUAACCCUAUGAGGUAGGCAUCAUUUCUCCCAUCUUAUUGUGAAGGAAACAGACUCAGAGAGGUGAAGUGAUUUGCCCAAGGCCAGACCCCUUCACAGAGACCUGCCUUGUGAGACGGCACCUGCAAGGAGAGGGAAGGCAUUGGUAGCAGUGAAGUCCAUUCCAGAGAGCGGGCAGGGAGUGACAGCAGGAGCCCCAGAGACCCCCAGGACCUGACUCAGCCUGGCAGUCUGUUCGGGUCUCCCCAGGAGAGUAGACGGUGGAUGGGGAGGUGAGGCUUGAGGGUUAGGACAGAGAAGAGGGGGUUUUCUUAGAGAGCUCAAGGGACAGGAGGAGAGAAGAGAGACAGAGCACAAGCCCCAGGACCUGUGUCCAGGACAUUGGUCAUUUCUCAGGACCCCAGGCAUUUCCCUCCAUCCCUCUUAGCUCUUUGCUUCCUUGCAGCUCAGACCUCUAAAAUCCUCCCCUCAUUUCCACACUUCACCUCCUCACCUGUGGACUCUGGGUCUGCACCCUCUGCUUCUCACACUUCCUUGCUGCAGACUCCAACCUCGGGGGAACCCCAAAGGCCCAACCCUCCCCAGCACUGAGUAUCAGAAGUGCCACAGCCCUGCCAUUAAAGGGGGCCACCACCUCCUUUCCCCGUAGCUUGGUCUUAGUGAUGCUGGCCACCCUACUGCAAGGCCCAGGCCCAGGAGUAGACAGUACCCGAGUUUGGGUGUCCUUCCCUUCCCCCGACACCAUGCCCAAGGAGGAGCAGCAGCAGUGCAGCUUCCUGGGAAUGAGGCUUUCUUUCCACCUUCUCCUCGUCCAUUGCCCUGGAAAUACCUGUAGCAGGUGGGCAGGCUGGCAGGGAAGGCCAGGCGCAUCUGAUGUCACUGCUCCCCAGCAUUGUUUUGGUUCUGACCACAGUGGGGGUGGGGUGUAUGUCUGUGUGCUAAGUCCACUCAGUCCCAGGGCAAGCUGGGGCUUUGUCUCCCUCUCCCCUGCCAAGCUCCCUGGUUCCUGGCUGAAAGCAUUUCCAGGGUGUCAGAAGCUGUUGGCAUCGCCAGGGCUGCCAAGGGGAGGAGGGGCAGGAGAGUUGGGUGGGGGUGUGAGGGUCCUCCUCCCCAGAGAUCCCCAUAGCCUGGGAGUGAGAGGUGGACACUGUACCCCUGGUCAGUAGGGGAGCAGGGGUCCGCAGGACACUAGGAAAGCUGGUUCACGCAUGUCUCCCAGGAGGUGUUCAGGGAGCAUUUGUUAAGAUGGGGAUCGCUGCAAGGUGGAGGGUCCCAGGGACCCCCUUCUGGUUCCAGGCGUGUCCUUCCUGCUCACUAUAUCAUGUCAACUCCAUCAACCUUUAGCCAGGUCCACGCUCGCCAACCAGCAGUCCAGUUUCCCAACUCAGCACAGGGGGAAACGGAUGCCUAGUAGAGAGGACAAAAAUGAGCUCAACGUCACAUCAAGUCAGCAGUAUUGUUGGGACUGGACUCCGAAGUCUGACUCUUGGUUCAAUGCUCUUUCCCCUAUAGCAGGUGGUUAUGCAAAGUAAUGUAAAUUAUAUGCAAAUGUCUGUGGCUUCCUACCUACGCCUAGCAGAGGGGGUUUUGUGCCCUACUGGGGCUGGCGGGAGUCUUCUCCCGUCACAAGACUAUCAGUUCUGAAAGGGCUCGUGGUAAUUGUUUUACCCACUAUCUGACUCAGGGCCUGGGCCCCAACCUUCUGUGGUGAUCAGGAGGAGCACAAAUGGCUCUGGGACCAUGGGUACCUGGCGUCCUGCUGUCGUGGGGGGCAUAGGGCUGACAAUGCCAGGAAAUGGCCAGAGGAAGCCUCUGGAUAGGCCCCUAGAGUCCACACGACAGUGUGGGCCUGGCUUGGGGAGGUUUUCUCACGAGUCCUGGGAAGUCGGCUUACUGUCUCCAGGCCCCCUGGGUCCCCAUCAAUAAGCUGGCCUGAAUGGAGAGGCUGGGUUGGGGGGAGGGAGAUUUAUUUCCUGGCUUUAAAACCAGCCAUUCUCCCGCCUCCCACCUUCCUCCUGGCUGGAGAACAAUGGGACAUCCCCAGAGAGGCCUUCCUGUGGCAACAGGUGCACUGAGCAGGGUGGAUGACCACCACCCAGGCCCCCAUAGGUUCCAGCUGUGCACGUGGUGAGCCUCCACCAUUGGUCCUGCUUCCAGAACAGCAGCCUGGCGCCCUUAGAAACAACACCAGGCACUGACCCUUUCUCCACUAUUUCUGGGUCCAGGAAGUGGCUUGUUUGUUUGUUUCUACAGUCCAGAUAAUGUUGCCAUAUUUCCCCAAAUGGUGGGAACUAAGUUCUGAAAAAUAAUCACCCUUAAUCCCACCCAGACACAACUACUACUUGCAUAUUCGUGUGUUUCCUUUCAGGCUCAUGCCCAGGUUUGUUUUAUGAUGUCAUCACAUACUUACAGGUUUCAUUUCAUGCUCAGGCCUCUACACUUAACAUUAUUCCAUGAAUCUUUCUCGUAUAAUUACAUAGACUUCAUAAUUAGCCAUUAAUACCCGAGAAGAACCCACAGUGGGGAUAUACUUUAAUUUACUCAAGCAGUUCUCCCUUUGUUGGGUAUCUUACUCUGGUAAAUAACACUGCGUUGAACAUCUCCAUGCUCACAGCUUGGUUGGGUUCCUUGGGAGAGAUUCCCAAAAGUAGAAUUCUAGGUAAAAAGACACGCCCUCAUUCAUACACGCUGCUAGAUUGCUUUGUGGAUUUGAUGCAAGUGUCGUCACCAAGUUGUCAUUCUCCGAAGUCCCAGCAGUUGUUCAUGGGCCCACAGGGUGGUAAGAAGUAUUUCCUAGACAGCCCAGACUUCCAAAUGUCACCGGCUGUCACUGAUUAUGGGGGGAGGGAAUGUGAAUUGACACAAAAGGAGCUUGGGGCUCUCACUUCCAGGGUCCCUAACUUAGAAACACCCCCGGGCUUUAGGGACAGGCUUUACUAAGAGGCCACUCCUUGUUCGUAAUUAGCGCCAUCCAUCCCCAGUCAGAUCUGGAAUGAGCGGAAGCCCUUUAAAGUAAUUUGCUCUUUUAAUAUCACCCCUGUGAUCUCAUUUAAUUUUCUCAACCAAACUUCAUUCACAGAGGAAGCCAAAAGCACUCCACCAGCCCGGACUGAAUUCUCACCCUUUCCAAACAGUGGCUCUGGACUUCUGCAAGCUCUGCUGAGAUUUGUCUGGCCUCCAGCAGCUUGCAUCCGAAGCCAAAGGGCUGUCUCUGUCCAACAACAAAAGGCAAGAGCAUAGUGUAAAAGCUGUGGCUUUAAACAUAGGCAAGCAGCUGCCACUGCCUGCUCUGAGCCCCCACGGUGGGGAGGAAAUCGACUAUGUAUUGAGUCAUACGCCCUGGCAGGCUCCGUGCUGGACAUUUGUUCGGUUGGGCGGGGGCAUGUUCUCAGUGAUCCUUCUGUGAACCCUGUGAGAUUGGUAUGAGCACCCAUUUUACAGAUAAGGAAACUUAUCUGUAAGCUCUGAGUUGCAAUGACUUGUCAAGGUCCCUACCAUAGCCCCUUCUUUGGAAGAUCUCCAGGUGACAUUGCACAUGGAGCUGUGGCACUGCUGUCACAAUGUCAUACCCCAGAGGUGAACAGGUGAGUGGACGAGUACCCGCCACACCCCUAUGCUGCUGCCACUCACACAGCCACUCCCAGCCCUGGCCCCAGCUCCUCCAGGAAGGGAGCCUCCCUCCGCUGAGCCAGCAGAGCUCUCAGGCCAUUGGCAGCUGGGCUCAGGAGAGCCAUGGUGAUUUAUGGCUGCCGCGUCUCCCCAGUGCCCUGCCUGGGCCCAGUGUACUUAUGGACUAAUGGAAGCUCGAAUGGAGGGAGAUAAUUCUGCCAGGAGCUGGCUCCAGUGACAGGGGCAACCACCAUUGCCUCAGGGCAAGGAUAGGUUCGGGAACAGAGGGGACUUGGGCAGAGGCCAGAGGCAGAGGCGCUGAAGGCUCUGAGAGCAGAUGGAGCCCAGGUGGGGACUCGGGCGUGCAGAGGGUGGCACUUCCUGGCAGCCCAGUCCCCAGACUGGCUUCUCCAGGGCCCCCAGAAGGGAGCCAAGAGGUGGGCCAGGAGCCCAAGGCCCCAGAGGCCUAGCAGCACACCUGCCCGUGCAUUUGGUGUGUGGGUUUUGAUAUUCUUAGAACAUCCAAGCUUCUCACCUAACCCCCUCAAUGAUAGAUGGGGAAGCAGGGGCCCAGAAAGGGUCAGGGACUUGUCCAGGGUCACACAGCAUGUUAGUUACUGAGCUGAGACAAGAACCCUGGGAUGUCACAAGAACACGGCAGCCGGUGUGGAGUGGAGAGGAAGACCUUGGGCAGGGUGGGCAGGAGGGUGAGCACAGAGCAGGGAAGGUGCAGGAAGACGACAGUCAUGGUCAGGGAUUAAAGAGGAUGCUAAGGAGGAGGCUGGGACAGCCCCAACAGCGGGGCCCAGAGGAAGGGGUGCAGCAGCUGGCAUCGACCCUCCUGGUAAGGGAGGGUUAAGGGGGACCUGGAAACCCACAGCCCCACUGGGUUCCCUCUGUGAGCCAGCAGGUGCUUCCUGGGGCUCUGCUGGGCCCUGAGGGGUGAGCACCCCCGGAUCCCACCUAGCUCCUUUCCACUGAUGUCCUCCAGCCAGCAUGGCCCACCACUCAGCUCUCCUGAGCCUCUCUCUGUGUCUUCUUAAAUGGGACCGUUAUGCCUACCUCAAAGGGUAAGUGGGAGGUAAGUGAAUAGGGAAGUUCAGGUUGAGAGAAAGCCGAAGGGAAGAAGAGACGCCCACCUCAGUUCAGAUGUCUCAGGACCCCUGGCACCUCUCUUGCCCCCUUCCCCCUCCAGGCCCACCCAGGCGAGUCACAUAGGUUGCUAGUGCCUCAGUGUAUCCCAUCUGUGAAAUGGGCUCCCCUCCCAGCCCCUGGCAAGAAGGCAUAUCCCUGACUGGGUGGUGAGCUUCCUCCUGCAUGCCAAGCCCACACAGCAUCUUCGAGGAGCGCCUCGGUGGUGAGCUGCACCAGCCUGGACUGAAUUCUCACCGUGGAGAGAUGUACAUGCCAGGUGCUCCUUGGAGGUGCUGUGUGGGUUUGGAAGAUGUUUUCCAUGGCUUGGGGCCCAGCAGCCCUCUGGGGCCUGACAAGGAGUGAGGAAACAACCGCGCCUGUUGUAGGGCAAAGAGGAACCUCUGUCCCCUCCCUGGAAUCACUGCAGGCUGUGGCCAGGUGUGCAGGGAACUCUUUCAGGUCAUCUGGCUCAGUGGCUUCCACAAACACCUAGAAUCCGUGCUGUGCAUAGGCACCUGCCUGUGCUAAAGCCGUUUGAUAUAUGUGAGCUCCUGGAGGUAGGCAAUGUUCUGAUACCCUCUUUAGAGGUGGGGAAACAGAGGCCAGAGGCUUGAAGUGCCAUGCCCAAGAAACACGUGCUUUCACUGGGAACUGUUUUUGAGAGUUCACCUGAUGCCAGGUGCACAGGAGCUAAGGCAUUACUUAUCCUCUAGGCUAGGGACUGUUAGCCCAUUUUACAGGCGGAGAAACCAAGGCCAGGGAGACAAAAUCACCUGCCUGAAGGCCCCACAGCUAUCGAUGCCGAGACUCUAUCCUGCGGAUGUUGGGCUCUUUCCACUGAGUAAGGUUCCCUCACUCUCUAGUGCCACAUGGGGUGCCCUCAGUCUGGGCCAGGGCAGGGCAGAUGCAGGGCCCCCCACUCCCCUCCUAGGAUACAGGAAUCUGUAUUGCCUCAGGCUUGUCUCUGCCCACCUGCUGGCCAAGUCCAGGACAGAAAGAGAGGGCUCACAAAUUGGGAGACUCUGGGCUGAAGACCUGGUGGUCUCAGCCAUUUUUGUUUCUUGAGGGUCCCAAGACCACCCAUUCCUCCUCCAAGCCCAGCCCUGUAGCUCCUCCAGGAAGCCUGGCCCCUUCCUGAGCUGUGUGGCCAGCUCUCUAUGCUUCUUCUGGAACCUCCACUCCAGAGCACCUGAGAGCAGCAGGACAAGCCGUGGUCUUGGGCAGCGUCCUUUCAGAGGAGGAAGGUCCAGAGAGGGGAAGGGACUUGUCCAAGGUCACACAGCUAGCGACAUCCCAAGCAGCCCUGCUGGAGCUCUUCAGAGAAAGGACAGGAGGAGCCAAGGGUGAGCUUGGCCAAGCUGGCACCCACUUGCCUCCAGAGUCACCAAGGUCCCCACCCUGCCCCAACAUUGCCUUUUCCCGAGGAGUUGAUUCCCAACCCAGCAGAGGAGCUGCCAGAUGGGUAAAGACCCUCCUGCUGAAGAACUGAGCAUCCCAAUCCCCUCUUGUCCUCCCCGCCCAGUGGCCAGCCAGGUACUGCCCUGUCCAGGAGGCAGCUGACAGGCAACAGGGAAGAGCUGAGCCUCAGGGCAGGCAGCCCGUGUGAGGCCACGUGAGCCCAAUGUCACCAGGGUCCCAUCGGGUGAACUGGGAUAGAAUGGCCCAGCCUUUCCUCAUGGGCAGGGUGGAGGGAGGUGAAGUAUGGCCAUUCAUUAGAAAAGUAAUGACUGGGCCGGGUGCAGUGGCUCACACCUAUAAUCCCAGCACUUUGGGAGGCCAAUGCAAUAGGAUUGCCUGAGGUCAGGAGUUCAAGACCAGCCUGGCCAACAUGGCAAAACCCUUCUCUACUGAAAAUACAAAAACUAGCCAGGUGUGGUGGUGUGUGCCUGUAAUUCCAGCUACUCAGGAGGCUGAGGCAGGAGAAUCAUUUGAACCCGGGAGGCAGAGGUUGUAGUGAGCCGAUAUGCCACUGCCCUAUAGCCUGGGUGAUAUAGCGAGACUCCAUCUCAAAAAAAAAAAAAAAAGGAAAAGA